rnacentral:misc_RNA from 1 species
GAUGAAGAACGUAGUGAAAUGCGAUAACUAGUGUGAAUUGCAGAAUUCCGUGAAUCAUCGAGUCUUUGAACGCACAUUGCGCCCCCUGGUAUUCCGGGGGGCAUGCCUGUCCGAGCGUCAUUGCUGCCCAUCAAGCACGGCUUGUGUGUUGGGUCGUCGUCCCCUCUCCGGGGGGGACGGGCCCCAAAGGCAGCGGCGGCACCGCGUCCGAUCCUCGAGCGUAUGGGGCUUUGUCACCCGCUCUGUAGGCCCGGCCGGCGCUUGCCGAACGCAAAUCAAUCUUUCUCCAGGUUGACCUCGGAUCAGGUAGGGAUACCCGCUGAACUUAAGCAUAUCAAUAAGCGGAGGA